ensembl:lncRNA
CUUGGACCUUCCACUAAGCUUAUAAUGAUUCAUUACACCAGUGGAAUCACGCUGAUUGGACAGGAUAAGCAAGAGAAUAAUCCUACUCUAGUCUACACAGCAAGUAACAAGGAAGACAGCUGACUUUGGAUGAGGACCGGGCUGGGGAGAAGCCUUUCAGAAGACUCAGGUUGUGGUGCAAGUAGCCCUGCUGCUUGGGCCACACAGUUCAGCAGGUUCUUCAGUGUUGACUUAUCUAUGGUGGGAAGAUAUGCACUGUGGAGCUGAUAGCAAACCCCAGCUAGAGCAUCACAACAGAAACCCUCUGGAUUUGAGAACAAAGCCAUCCAUCUGCACCAGAAAAUUAUAUGCCUGUUAAGAAACAGGCCUGGUAGAGACAGAAUGUUUGACUAUGCUGCUCUAAGUCACAAUGUGCACAAAAAAGCCCGUUUUGAGUUGGGUUUUAUAAGACUUGGCAAAUCAUAAAUUUGAUGAAGCCCAGUAACUGACCAUUAUAAAAUGGAAAAGAUGCAUCUGGAUUGAGCCUCUGUAGGACAAGUGGGCACGAGUAAGCUAUAUGACCAGAUAUACCAGACCUUCCUGUCAUCUGCCAGGGUUGCAUCAGUGCCCUUCUCCAAAUUUGUGCUUUUGGCUGUAUUGGAAAGGAAGAGGUCCCAUUCAAUCAGCUGAAGGAGUAGGAAAAAAUCUGAAAUUGGUUUAUGGGUUGUCAAUAUCAGAAUAUGAGUGCAAGAUGAAAACUGGCAUCAGCUGUACUUUGGCCCCAUUUCAGCACAGCCUUGAAUGACAGUAAAGAGGAAAAAUAAUCAAUAUUUCAGAGCUGCAAUCAAUGCAUUUGUUUAUCCACUUUAUGUGAAAAGAGAAGUCACCUGCUGUAAUAAUAUAUAUGGAAGUCUGGACAAGAGUAAAGUGGUUGAAUAUAUAGGAAUGGGCACAAGGAGUGAAGACUUUUGUAUUAUAGGUUUAUGCCCACCAGAGAAGAGGCACUGAGCAACUAAGUAGACAAAAUUACGGAAAAGACAGUUGGUGAUAACCAGUCUUUGUCGUCAGCCUCUCUUAAACUGGUGGAGUAGGCAGAGGAAAAUAGUGCGACAGUGACACAGAGGGAUACUAUAUAUGGGACCAACAGUAUUAACUACCAUUUAUCAAUGUUAAUCUAGCUACUGAUGCCUUUGAAUGUCCAGCAAAGACCAAUGCUAAGCCCCCAAUAUAGCACUAUUCCUCAAGGAGAUCAAUGGCCUCUUGAUGGCAAGUUGACUAUUUCAGCUUCUUUUCAUCCUAGAAGGGCUUGUGGUUUGUCUUCAGACAUAUGGAUACCUCUUCCAGAUAAGUAUUUGCCCUUCUUUUCAGGAAAGUCUCAGUCAGAAGUACUCUCCAGGGGCUUGUGGAAUGCCUCAUAUACUUCCAUUGUAUGGAAUCCCAUCUAAUAUAGAAUCUGAUCAAGUGAUCCACUUCAUAGCAAAGAAUGUGUGGGAGUGGACCAAUGCCCAUAGUGUCAAUUGGUCAUAUCACAUAUUGCACCAUCCAGAAGCAGCCAGCCUAACUUAAUACAGGAAGAACAUUCUAAAGGUACAGUUGAAGUUCAAAAUUGAAAGGACUGUUCUAAAGACAUUUAUAUGGUACUUUAUCUUAAAAAGCAAUUAUGUAUGGAUUGAGAAACCAAGGGGUGGAAACAAGGCAGGCCCUGCUUACCAUCAUCCCAGUCGCCUCUUGAGAGAUUUUGUGCUUCCUAUUCCCACAAUCAUAGGCCUUAGAAGGAGUGGAGAUCCUGGUCUCCAAAGAGGACACACUCUUACAACAGAAUAUUGCAAAGAUCUCUUUGGACUCUAUGUCCAGAGACUAGCGGAUGAGAAGAGAAAUCAUCAUCAUGGCUUCCUUAACACAACAAGGGCAAGAAGGAACACGUGUGGAACCCAGGUGAUCCAUUUUGGCACUUCCUGUACUCAUUGACCCAUUGUAUCUGUAAAUGGACAGAGACAACAACCUUAGUUUGAAAAGGGCAUGAUGACCAAGGGCUCAGACAUCACAAAUGAAUGUUUGGGUACAGCACUAGGCAAAUUACCGAGAUCUCCCAAGGAGAUGUCUGAGGAUGAGAAGAAUUUUGAAUAGAUAGUGUAGGAGGAAAAGGAUAAAUAUCAGCUGUGACCCAGAGAUCAGAUGCAGCAAAAGAGGCUAUAGUUUGUUCUGCUAGCCCCUUCUUCUAAAUUUCUUUUCAGGAAGAGACGUCAAGGAAAUCAUGGAGCGGCUGCAUAAAUCUACAUGAAGUAGAUCUGUGCAACAAAAGGCAUGGACUAUGGUGGCCAAUAAAAAGCCCCAGCAGCCACCUUUUGGGAGCUGUAAUCACAUUCUUACCAAGGCAACACUUCCCUUGGCCUACUUCCAGUGAAUGAUGACUGAGCAUGGCAACAGGACAAAGGCAGGAUAAUUCCUACAAGAUGUGAAAUUCUUCCAAUGGGUGAUUUUGACUUGAGGCUUCCUCCCUAUUUUGGCCAAAAUGUUCAUAGAACUAUGUUAUAAUCUGAGCUUCUUCUCUACUUUUUCUUAUCUCACUCUCCUUCACAAAAGUCAGAACUGCAUCACAGACUGAAGGCUCUCUCCAGCCUCACUAGCUUGUUCCUCUUUAACUUUUAAAAGCAUUU